AAUAUUGUAAAUAAAAAAAUUGGUGAUGAUAAAAUAAUAAAUAAGGAUUUAACUCGUGUUAUAUCAAUCAAAUCCGUCCCGCUAUACAACUCGUCUCAUGAUAGUUUUAAUAUU
rnacentral:sRNA from 1 species